rnacentral:lncRNA from 1 species
UUCUCUGUCAGAGAACAGAGGGCAAGGAUUUAGUUUGUAGUCAUACUUCUCUACUUUAAGAUGUUAUUCUAAAUACACAUUCUCUCUUUAAAACUUCCUGUGGAUUCUUAGUUAAUCACUUCAUCAUUUCCAUUAUAUCAUUUUGUUAGUAAAUUUAUUUUAAAGUGAUUCUAACAAGAGCAUCUUUUUUCCUUCUUCUCGCUUUAAUAAGAUAAAUGAUCCAUUAAUAAGAGUAAAGAUCUUUAAAUGCUGUUUUCUCCUGUCCUGUUCGCCCCUAUUCCUAAUUUUCACUUUUGAAUUUUCUGUUUCCAUAAAAAGGCUUUAUAAAUCAGCCUUUUGCUUGGCUACGUAGUCCUUUGUCCCCUGAAAUAAAAGUCACCAUGAAGUCUAGUUGGUUUAGCCUGAAGCAUCUCCCAUAAUGAAAUGGAAAGGAAAAGGAAGAUGUGAGUAAUAAAGCUGGAGCUGCUCAUUUUUCAAGUCUCUGAGAAGCAAGGACUAUAUUUUGCUGACAGAGUGCUGAUGGAAAAAGUGGAGGACUAGCAAAGGCCAGCUUAAAGUAUUUGCUUUCCUCACCUACUUCUCUAUGCUCAUAGGUAGUUCUGUAGGGUGAAGAAGCUCCAUCCUUGCCGCAUCUGGACUAUAGAAUCUCCAGCAUACCUCCCCGCAUAUGUAGACUGUACAUACACACACACUACGUUUCAUAGACCUAAAGACAAAUGCCAAGACAGUGCAAUCUGCAUGUCAUUCCUGUAAGUAGAGUCUCAGGGCUAAGUCAGAAUUAUUUUUACAGGGUUGGAUUAUGUCGUAACCCCAGAGAAUACGCUCACUUUCACUAGAUGUGUGUGAAAAGCAAGCAAUCUGCUCCCUCCAAAGGAAAACACAAUUUUCAAUUAGAAAUAAGUACAAACUGCUGGUCUUUCCUCAGUAGUACCGAAAUCCAACGGUUUUCAACUGUUCAAUUAUGUGAGUUUCAAUACUUGAACAAUUAUAAUCUAAAACAAAUAGUCUUUGAGAGCAUUCUAUUCCCUCUUUAAUCAUCGUUUUCUGCUUCAGUAGUCAGCUUUCCUGACUGCAUGCUCUGGCUAGCAGGAUCACCAUAAUCCUCCACUUUAACCCUCAGUUUUUGAUAACUGCUGUUUACAAAAGGACUUUAUGGAUUGUGGUCACUUUACAGUAAAACCAAAAAAAAAAAAUGUACAAUUUCGAAUUCUAAGGGGGCUGUUUCAUUGAUAUCAUUUCCACCAAACAAUCUAUUUAUGCAGGCAACAGUAUAUUUACUUACCUUAAAAUAUAUUUAACACCUGCUGCAUUGUUCAUUGUCUGUAUAGGUUAGAUUGCUGUGGUUUCAAUGAGAAUUCUUCUAGAGCAUUUGACAUUUGUCACUUCUCUAGAUAUAUUUUUAUGGAUAGCUUAGCCUCUUCUAUUCAUUCUCAACUGCAUACAGGAGAUUCAUUUUAAGGAUCCUAGGGCUGAUUUUUUUAAAACAUAUUUUGUUCUCUUUACUAAUAACAGAGACGGUACUAACCUGACCUCCACUUUUUGUCAGAUCUUUUCCUACCACAAAGUAACAGGAGCAGGAUCAGAACAAAUGAAAUAGAUCAUUCUUUCUUUAUUCAUUCAUGAAGUAUUUAUUGAAAGCCCAGUGUUCCAAGGGUUGUUACAGAUGUUGGUGUGCAAAUAUAAGUUACACCUUGUUCUUACCCUUGGGGAGCUCCAAGUCUAGCAAGCGAGGCAUAUAUUGUUUAAUAGGGAUAUGCAUAACAUGCUAUAGAAAGUAGAGCAAAGGUCCUCCUCAAGUAUUUCUAUAAGGCCCUUGUUUGAGACAAGAUAAUAAGAUAAGAGACAAGAAAAAGAUGAAUUUCUGGAAAAUAUGAUUUUUUUCUUGUUUAUUGCUUCCACCUUCAACAGGCUGCUUUGUUUAUCCUUCUCAAGGCAAAUAUCUAUCUAUGCAGAUAUAUUUCUUUAGAGGGAGAUGAAUUGACUCUUUAGGGGGAGCAAGAGUAAAUGUUCUAAAGUACUUUUUAAGAAGCUGAAUUCUCUCCAUUAUUGCUUCAAUUCUGGUUGGGGGAUUCUGAAAAUCCUCCUUCUCAUCAGUCAGACCUAAGUGACGAUUUGGGGACUCUCUUUGGGGUAGGAAACAACAAUCUCCCCUUCUGCUCUUCUUCUUUUCUCAGUUAUUUUUUUGCCAUCUAUUGUUGACCAUCUGUUGUUUUCCAUCUAUUGUUAAAAUGCCAUGUCAUUUUUCUUCCAGACAUUCCUUAAGCUCUUUGUUGUAUUCCAGCUCCUCCUAAAACCGUCCUUUGUCCUGAUGAACAAUUUUGACUCUGUUUAGGAAGAUCUUUUAGAACUAGAUGAAGCAUAUUUUGAGUAAAUAAUUGACUAAAAGGUGUCAUCCACUGAAGUGAGGUCUCACCUGUGUGCUCUGGGUGAAUUUUUCCAAUCCUGAAAGUCACACAUGUCUGUUCUCUGCAGGAAGCUCAUUCAGUUAGCAGAGCCACUUUGGGAGGCCACAAGCAGAGCAUCUCCUCCAAGAUAUACAGGGAGAUAGGAAUCAGGCUGUUGAGUUCUUUCUUAUAAAAAGACUUGACAGUUGGUCCACCAACACCCUGGCUUCCUUGAAUUCUCCCAUAGCUACAAUUCCUCAAAACUACAUUCUAACACCUGCCUGCCACGAGAAUUUGAAACACAGUGUAUAACUCUGAUACUCAUUUUCCUUAACCUAAAGGCUUGGACAUACUUAGUCUUCAACUGUCCUGUAGGUCACAAGUAGACCAAAUAAAUAACAAAGCUUCCUUGUUUCUGCAAAUGCAAAAGUGGUUAAUGAAAGAAGGUACAGGCAAACUCAAAUCUUUCAGAAUGCUUGGAGGAUAACAGUGCUAUUUCAUGUCUCUCAUGCAGUUUAAAAUGCUUUCUUUAAAAGACACGUAGUGUAAUUGAAUUACUUCCAUAUACUGUCCCUGAGUCCUCCUUAACCUCUCCUCCCAACCUCUCAAUCAUACUCCUGUUUGGCAUGCCAUAAUGGUGUGAAGGUGUGAUACUCUUCAUUCCUGACAGUGAGUACUGCCAGGGACCCAUCAUCUAACACUAUGUGGGGACACUGUUCUCUUCAAUGCUCCCAAGUGACACAGGGAAAACUUUACAAAAUAGCGGAACAAACUCAAGCGAGUAGUCCUAGGCCAUGACCAAAGGUGAAGCUGAUUGUUUUAGUGAUUAAAUUCUGGUCGUAUUUUUCUUAGCUUCAUAUUCUUCUAUACCUCAGAUGCCAGUAGCCUCAGAGGACAUGAACAAGGUGCAGGGUGUGCAACAGGAGCAUUGUGUAACACUGCACACCCCUUGGAAGGCCUCCCCAUAUUUAAUAUUUAGGAGAUAAUAUUAAUGGGCAUCUGACUAGUCAUACUUUUCCAUUGUAAUCAACCCAUCCCACUUUCACAUAAAUAUUAUUAGUCUCUUCUCUUUGAAUGGCAGCGUCAAUCUGUGUUACCUUGUCCUGCCUUAUACUCAUGCAAAAAAUACCAAACCUUGCUUAAAGCAGCAUAGAUAUAUCAUGAGAGGGACUUUGUCUUACUGAGGUCCAACACCAAGAAUUUUCUCCUUCUGAAUCUGGUAGUUGAUGAUAUCCUGAUAUCCUGUGCUGUCCUGGACUGUAACUCCCCUCAGUCAACUGGAAGAGGCAAAAAGAGAGCAGAGUUGUCAUUGGGAAUAGAAGUGCAGGCUUGGGGGGAACUAAAGGUCUGCCUCCAGGAUAGGACAAGUAAUGACUCAGCAAACCUUUUCUGAAGGCCAAAUAGUCAAUAUUUUAGGCUUUGCAGACCAAACAGUCUCUGUUGCAACCUCUAAUGUUGUAGCAGGAAGGCAGCCAUAUGUAGAUCGAUAGACUUGGCUGCGUUUCAUAAAACUUUAUUUUCAAAAACAGCGGGUCAUAUUUGGUCCAUAGGCUAUAGUUUGCUGAUCUCUAUGACAGAGCAUUACAACAAUGUCCAUUUCAGUUGGGAAAUCAGUCUCACUGGUGUGUAGUGGUCCUCUUUUUUUGAGGAACGAGAAAGAAUAGGGAAACUAUUAACAAUUAAACAAUAGAAUGCAAAAUAACCUCCCCCCCUCCCCAGAAAAUACAUAUGUCAGACUCUUUAUAAUGGCAAAAGCACAAAACAGGUCACCUUUCUUUGUAGAUCUGCCAGAGUCUAGCUUUUUCUUUUGACCUUCUCACUUUUGUUCCCAAAACAGAAUCCCAAGUGAUGUUGCCUCGUUCCAAGUCAGUUUUGUAGACCAUGUAACAUGUCUUAAUACACUGUAUGGGCAAAAAUAAAAGUUAGCCUUAGAUUUCUUUGUUUUCUAUGGUUACUGUUGUACAGAAGAAAGACAAACUGUAAAUAAUGUAUAUUUAAUAAAGAGAGAAUUUUGUAUGAUUUUGUGUGGA